GUAAGGAAUAUUGGUCAAUGGAGGCAACUCUGAACCAGCCAUGCCGCGUGCAGGAAGACGGCCCUCUGGGUUGUAAACUGCUUUUAUCCGGGAAUAAACCUGCCUUCGUGAAGGUAGCUGAAUGUACCGGAAGAAUAAGGAUCGGCUAACUCCGUGCCAGCAGCCGCGGUAAUACGGAGGAUCCAAGCGUUAUCCGGAUUUAUUGGGUUUAAAGGGUGCGUAGGCGGCCUGUUAAGUCAGGGGUGAAAGACGGUGGCUCAACCAUCGCAGUGCCCGUGAUACUGAUGGGCUUGAAUGGACUAGAGGUAGGCGGAAUGUGACAAGUAGCGGUGAAAUGCAUAGAUAUGUCACAGAACACCGAUUGCGAAGGCAGCUUACUAUGAUCCUAUUGACGCUGAGGCACGAAAGCGUGGGGAUCGAACAGGAUUAGAUACCCUUGUAGUCC
rnacentral:rRNA from 1 species